CAGUAGCCACGGGAAUACGGAGGGUGCAAGCGUUAAUCGGAAUUACUGGGCGUAAAGCGCACGCAGGCGGUCUGUCAAGUCGGAUGUGAAAUCCCCGGGCUCAACCUGGGAACUGCAUUCGAAACUGGCAGGCUAGAGUCUUGUAGAGGGGGGUAGAAUUCCAGGUGUAGCGGUGAAAUGCGUAGAGAUCUGGAGGAAUACCGGUGGCGAAGGCGGCCCCCUGGACAAAGACUGACGCUCAGGUGCGAAAGCGUGGGGAGCAAACAGGAUUAGAUACCCCAGUAGUCCCUGUCUCUUAUAC
rnacentral:rRNA from 1 species